rnacentral:rRNA from 1 species
UACAGAGGUCUCAAGCGUUGUUCGGAUUCAUUGGGCGUAAAGGGCGCGUAGGCGGGUCGGCAAGUCAGGGGUGAAAUCCCGCGGCUCAACCGCGGAAGCGCCUUUGAUACUGCCGGUCUCGAGGGAGGCAGGGGAGUGCGGAACUUCCGGUGGGGCGGUGAAAUGCGUAGAUAUCGGAAGGAACAUCGGUGGCGAAGGCGACUUACUGGACACAUAUUGACGCUGAGGUGCGAAAGCGUGGGGAGCAGACAGG